rnacentral:rRNA from 1 species
AUUGAACGCUGGCGGCAGGCUUAACACAUGCAAGUCGAGCGGGGGAAGGUAGCUUGCUACUGGACCUAGCGGCGGACGGGUGAGUAAUGAUUAGGAAUCUGCCUAUUAGUGGGGGACAACAUCUCGAAAGGGAUGCUAAUACCGCAUACGUCCUACGGGAGAAAGCAGGGGAUCUUCGGACCUUGCGCUAAUAGAUGAGCCUAAGUCGGAUUAGCUAGUUGGUGGGGUAAAGGCCUACCAAGGCGACGAUCUGUAGCGGGUCUGAGAGGAUGAUCAGCCACACUGGGACUGAGACACGGCCCAGACGCCUGCGGGAGGCAGCAGUUGGGAAUAUUGGACAAUGGGGGGAACCCUGAUCUAGCCAUGCCGCGUGUGUGAAGAAGGCCUUAUGGUUGUAAAGCACUUUAAGCGAGGAGGAGGCUACUUUAGUUAAUACCUAGAGAUAGUGGACGUUACUCGCAGAAUAAGCACCGGCUAACUCUGUGCCAGCAGCCGCAGUAA